UACGGAGGGUGCAAGCGUUAUCCGGAUUCACUGGGUUUAAAGGGUGCGUAGGUGGGCAGUUAAGUCAGUGGUGAAAUCUCCGGGCUCAACCCGGAAACUGCCAUUGAUACUAUCUGUCUUGAAUAUCGUGGAGGUAAGCGGAAUAUGUCAUGUAGCGGUGAAAUGCUUAGAUAUGACAUAGAACACCAAUUGCGAAGGCAGCUUACUACCCGAAUAUUGAUACUGAUGCACGAAAGCGUGGGGAUCAAACAGG
rnacentral:rRNA from 1 species